rnacentral:rRNA from 1 species
GAUGAACGCUGGCGGCGUGCCUAAUACAUGCAAGUCGAGUGAACAGACGAGGAGCUUGCUCCUCUGACGUUAGCGGCGGACGGGUGAGUAACACGUGGAUAACCUACCUAUAAGACUGGGAUAACUUCGGGAAACCGGAGCUAAUACCGGAUAAUAUAUUGAACCGCAUGGUUCAAUAGUGAAAGACGGUUUUGCUGUCACUUAUAGAUGGAUCCGCGCCGCAUUAGCUAGUUGGUAAGGUAACGGCUUACCAAGGCAACGAUGCGUAGCCGACCUGAGAGGGUGAUCGGCCACACUGGAACUGAGACACGGUCCAGACUCCUACGGGAGGCAGCAGUAGGGAAUCUUACGCAAUGGGCGAAAGCCUGACGGAGCAACGCCGCGUGAGUGAUGAAGGUCUUCGGAUCGUAAAACUCUGUUAUUAGGGAAGAACAAAUGUGUAAGUAACUAUGCACGUCUUGACGGUACCUAAUCAGAAAGCCACGGCUAACUACGUG